UACGUAGGGUGCGAGCGUUAAUCGGAAUUACUGGGCGUAAAGCGUGCGCAGGCGGUUGGCAAAGUCAGCUGUGAAAGCCCCGGGCUCAACCUGGGAAUUGCGGUUGAAACUAGUCGACUAGAAUCUGGCAGAGGGGGGUGGGAAUUCCACGUGUAGCAGUGGAAAUGCGUAGGAGAAUGUGGAGGAACACGAUGGCGAAGGGCAGCCCCCUGGGC
rnacentral:rRNA from 1 species